ensembl:snoRNA
CAAGCAGGCUGCAAUUGCAGUGCUUCAUUCUGUGGGAGCACUGCCAUUUUCCUGCUGAGAGCAACUCUGUUAACGUCGUCUUUGGUUCUACCUGUAUGUUGGUGAAACCAUUGUCCUUAACAUGUACAAGU